rnacentral:rRNA from 1 species
UACGGAGGAUGCGAGCGUUAUCCGGAUUUAUUGGGUUUAAAGGGUGCGUAGGCGGGAUGCCAAGUCAGCGGUAAAAAUGCGGUGCUCAACGCCGUCGAGCCGUUGAAACUGGCGUCCUUGAGUGGGCGAGAAGUAUGCGGAAUGCGUGGUGUAGCGGUGAAAUGCAUAGAUAUCACGCAGAACUCCGAUUGCGAAGGCAGCAUACCGGCGCCCUACUGACGCUGAGGCACGAAAGCGUGGGUAUCGAACAGG